rnacentral:pre_miRNA from 1 species
UGGAGUGUGACAAUGGUGUUUGUGUGACUGAUAUCAAACGCCAUUAUCACACUAAAUA